rnacentral:rRNA from 1 species
GACGGAGGAUGCAAGUGUUAUCCGGAAUCACUGGGCGUAAAGCGUCUGUAGGUGGUUACAUAAGUCAACUGUUAAAUCUUGAGGCUCAACUCAAAAUCGCAGUCGAAACUAUUGAGCUAGAGUAUAGUAGGGGUAAAGGGAAUUUCCAGUGGAGCGGUGAAAUGCGUAGAGAUUGGAAAGAACACCAAGCGGAAGAACACUCUGCUGGGCCGACACUGACACUGAGAGACGAAAGCUAGGGGAGCGAAUGGGAUUAGAACCGUACGUA